rnacentral:tRNA from 1 species
GAGGGUAUAGCUCAGUGGUAGAGCGAGCACUUAGCAUGCAGGAGGUCCUGGGUUCAAUCCCCAGUAUCUCUA